CUUGGUGGCUUUAGYGGAGAGGAAGAAAAGCAAAAAUAUCUGGAUUGUGGUCUGUAACUGAGCUAAUGCCAAAGAUAGUCAAAGACACCAGAGAACUCGACCGAGGCUAAGGAUCUUCUUGCAAACAGUGACAGUCAACAUCCUCAACAGUAUUACAAAUGACUUAAUGCUUUGAACACGUACCACGUUGGGAAGAAACACGCCUAGAGAAAUCAUAAAAACUGUGUCAGCUGAGAGCUUCAGUAAGAAGCACCACRGGAUCUCUGCCGCUUCAUUCCUGUGAACAAACUGGACAUGCUUUCCCUGGUAAGGACAGGCAAGCAUGUUACAAGAGC